ACGGAAGGCAGCAGUGGGGAAUAUUGGGCAAUGGGCGAAAGCCUGACCCAGCAACGCCGCGUGAAGGAAGAAGGUCUUCGGAUUGUAAACUUCUUUUAUUAGGGACGAAGGACGUGACGGUACCUCAUGAAUAAGCCACGGCUAACUACGUGCCAGCAGUCGCGGUAAUACGUAGGUGGCGAGCGUUAUCCGGAUUUACUGGGUGUAAAGGGCGCGUAGGCGGGGAUGCAAGUCAGAUGUGAAAUCUAUGGGCUUAACUCAUAAACUGCAUUUGAAACUGUAUCUCUUGAGUACUGGAGAGGUAGAUGGAAUUCCUUGUGUAGCGGUGAAAUGCGUAGAUAUAAGGAAGAACACCAGUGGCGAAGGCGAUCUACUGGACAGUAACUGACGCUGAGGCGCGAAAGCGUGGGGAGCAAACAGGAUUAGAUACCCUGGUA
rnacentral:rRNA from 1 species